rnacentral:rRNA from 1 species
CCUACGGGGGGCAGCAGUAGGGAAUAUUGCUCAAUGGGGGAAACCCUGAUGCAGCAACGCCGCGUGGGUGAUGAAGGUUUUCGGUUUGUAAACUUCUUUCGGUAGGGAAGAUAAUGACGGUAUCUAACGAAUAAGCACCGGCUAACUCCGUGCCAGCAGCCGCGGUAAUACGGAGGGUGCAAGCGUUACUCGGAAUCACUGGGCGUAAAGAGCGCGUAGGCGGGAUAGCAAGUCAGAUGUGAAAUCCUAUGGCUUAACCAUAGGACUGCAUUGGAAACUGUUAUUCUAGAGUAUGGGAGAGGUAGGUGGAAUUCUUGGUGUAGGGGUAAAAUCCGUAGAGAUCAGGAGGAAUACUCAUGGCGAAGGCGACCUGCUAGAACAUAACUGACGCUGAUGCGCGAAAGCGUGGGGAGCAAACAGGAUUAGAUACCCGUGUAGUC